GACAGCCAUGGCUACGCUUUGAGGGUAAAAUCAUACCUGUAGAGCAAACGCUGCGGACACAGCAGCAGUUUUAAAAAAGAUUUUAAGAUUAAUUUUUUUGCUCCUCUCACUCUAGCAGUUGAGCUGUCUCACUCUAGCCCCAACAUUCCGUCCCAUACACACCCAUUAUAAACUUUGAAACGGGUGAAAAAACAUCAUGAAACUUAAACUGGAACUGAAGAAAAAGUAUAAUAGAUAUUGAAAAGAUAAAUACAAGUUGAAUAGUUGAAUGUCUUGUCUUCGUUUUAAAGUUUGAAUGGUGGCUCUAUGUCAAUGUAUGUGGAAGUAGAUACAGUUUAAAGAGGAGGAAGUUGAAUGAGAAUUUGAAGGGUCUCCCCAUUGAAAUACAUUAUAAAUUUUUGUUGAAAAAAGUUGAAUAAAAUUAAAAAUAUAAAUGUUAAAAAUGAGAAAAAUAGAAGCAAUGUUGUCCAAAAGAAUAGGAAUCUAACGGUGUUUGAAUGGUUUUUCUAAGUUGAACGGUUUUGAAGGAGAUAGAUUACAAAAAAACGUACGGAAUACAGAAUAAUAAUAAAAUAGAAUAAAGAUUAGAAGAACAAUACUGUGAAUGCUUUUCAAGCAUUCACACUAAUAAAGAUUAGAAUAACAAUACUGUGAAUGCUUUUCAAGCAUUCACACUAAUAAUAACUAGAAAGUGCAUUUUCUGAAGAAACUGCAGUGUGAAUGCUUGAAUCUGAAUGUAUGCACUGAAAUGAAUUAAUUGCUGAAUUUUGAGUUAAAAAUAUUGAAUGAGAUAAAAAAACAAAAAAAAAAAAAUGAAUUUAACCUGAAAACAAAGGUGCUGAACUGCUAAAAGCUGAAGGUUACACAGAAGAAGGAGUUGGAAAAAAACUGAAAAUGUUUUAAAUGUAAAUUAGAAAACCCUAAGAAAUGAGAAAAGAACAUUUAGAGUCAGAAAACAUCUGAAUGAAUAUUAAAAGGUCAUAUUCUUUGAAUCACUGAAUGACUCAAAUGUGAUCCCUCCACUUUGAUCCACACAGUUUAAAAAGUUUAAAUGCUUGAGCUUUGAAAGAUACGGUGUUGGAAAGAGAACAAUAAUGGCGACAAUUUGAGGGUAAAAUGAUGGCUGUAACACUGUGGACACAGCAGCAGUUGAAAGAGAAGUGCUAAAGAUGAAUCUUGGUACAGUGGCAGGCAGAGCUCGUUAAGCAGGCAGGUGUGAGCCUGGUUGCUAUAGUGACCGCACCCAAUGGCUCCAUACACACGUACACAGACAUGCACCUCACUUUUGCUGCUUAAAAUGAACAGAAAAGUCAGGCCGAAACAAAUCGUUCCCAAAUGAAAAGUAAAAGUCGUAUUGACAAAAUUCUUUCACCGUGAGCGACAGCAGCUUCUAGUCUACUGAAUUCUCAGUUUUCAUGCCUGUGGAGUUUAUUAUAUGGACGUGGUGACAGUGGAAAGACACCAUGCUCUUCUGAUUUUCAAACGAACCUUCUGAGCCAUUUUAACAUUAGAGUCUAUGGAAGAGUUGGAGGGAGGAGGCUGUGCAUUGGUGACAUUUAUGAAAGAACCAUAAGACCUAGGACAAUAGUAAACACAUUGGAUGAAAGAGGACAGCGAUGGCUACGUUUUGAGGGUAAAAUCAUACCUGUAGAGCAAACGCUGCGGACACAGCAGCAGUUUUAAAAAAGAUUUUAAGAUUAAUUUUUUUGCUCCUCUCACUCUAGCAGUUGAGCUGCCUCACUCUAGCCCCAACAUUCCGUCCCAUACACACCC
ensembl:lncRNA